rnacentral:rRNA from 1 species
GAUGAACGCUGGCGGCGUGCCUAACACAUGCAAGUCGAACGGAAAGACGAGGAGCUUGCUCCUUUGUCGAUAGCGGCGCGCGGGAGAGUAACACGUGUAUCCCCUACCUAUAUUUCUGGGAUAACUUCGGGACACCGGAGCUAAUACCGUAUGAUAUCCUGAACCGCAUGGUUCGAUAGAGAGAGACGGUGUUGCGGUCACGUAUAGCUGCAUACCCGCCGCAUUAGCUAGUUGGGACGGUAACGGCUUACCAAGGCGACCAUGCGUAGGCGAACGGAGAGGGUGAUCGGCCACACUGGAACUGAGACACGGUCCAGACUCCUACGGGAGGCAGCAGUAGGGAAUCGUCGGCAAUGGGCGAAAGCCUGACGGAGCAACGCCGCGUGAGUGAUGAAGGUCUUCGGUGCGUAAAGCUCUGUUAUUAGUGAAGAACAGAUGUGGAAGUAACUAUGGACGGCUUGACGGUACCUAAUCAAGAAGCCACGGCUAACUACGUG